rnacentral:rRNA from 1 species
AUUGAACGCUGCGGCAUGCCUUACACAUGCAAGUCGAACGGCAGCACGGGUGCUUGCACCUGGUGGCGAGUGGCGAACGGGUGAGUAAUAUAUCGGAACGUACCUUAUUGUGGGGGAUAACGCAGCGAAAGCUGUGCUAAUACCGCAUAAUCCCUAAGGGGGAAAGCGGGGGACCGUAAGGCCUCGCGCAAUUAGGGCGGCCGAUGCCUGAUUAGCUUGUUGGUGGGGUAAAAGCCCACCAAGGCGACGAUCAGUAGCUGGUCUGAGAGGACGAUCAGCCACACUGGGACUGAGACACGGCCCAGACUCCUACGGGAGGCAGCAGUGGGGAAUUUUGGACAAUGGGGGCAACCCUGAUCCAGCAAUGCCGCGUGAGUGAAGAAGGCCUUCGGGUUGUAAAGCUCUUUUGUCAGGGAAGAAACAGCAGCUCUAACACAGUUUGCGAAUGACGGUACCUGAAGAAUAAGCACCGGCUAACUACGUGCCAGCAGCCGCGGUAA